rnacentral:rRNA from 1 species
GGGGAAUUUUCCGCAAUGGGCGAAAGCCUGACGGAGCAAUACCGCGUGAGGGAGGAAGGCUCUUGGGUUGUAAACCUCUUUUCUCAGGGAAGAAUAAAUGACGGUACCUGAGGAAUAAGCAUCGGCUAACUCCGUGCCAGCAGCCGCGGUAAUACGGAGGAUGCAAGCGUUAUCCGGAAUGAUUGGGCGUAAAGCGUCCGCAGGUGGCUGUGUAAGUCUGCUGUUAAAGAGUCUGGCUCAACCAGAUAAAGGCAGUGGAAACUACAUGGCUAGAGUGCGUUCGGGGCAGAGGGAAUUCCUGGUGUAGCGGUGAAAUGCGUAGAGAUCAGGAAGAACACCGGUGGCGAAAGCGCUCUGCUAGGCCGCAACUGACACUGAGGGACGAAAGCUAGGGGAGCGAAUGGGAUUAGAUACCCCAGUAGUCCUAGCCGUAAACGAUGGAUACUAGGCGUGGCUUGUAUCGACCCGAGCCGUGCCGUAGCUAACGCGUUAAGUAUCCCGCCUGGGGAGUACGCAGGCAACUGUGAAACUCAAAGGAAUUGACGGGGGCCCGCACAAGCGGUGGAGUAUGUGGUUUAAUUCGAUGCAACGCGAAGAACCUUACCAGGACUUGACAUGUCGCGAAUCCGAGUGAAAGCUUGGAGUGCCUUCGGGAGCGCGAACACAGGUGGUGCAUGGCUGUCGUCAGCUCGUGUCGUGAGAUGUUGGGUUAAGUCCCGCAACGAGCGCAACCCUCGUUUUUAGUUGCCAGCAUUAAGUUGGGCACUCUAGAGAGACUGCCGGUGACAAACCGGAGGAAGGUGGGGAUGACGUCAAGUCAGCAUGCCCCUUACGUUCUGGGCUACACACGUACUACAAUGCUACGGACAAAGGGCAGCAAGCAUGCGAAUGCAAGCUAAUCUCAUAAACCGUGGCUCAGUUCAGAUCGCAGGCUGCAACUCGCCUGCGUGAAGGAGGAAUCGCUAGUAAUUGCAGGUCAGCAUACUGCAGUGAAUUCGUUCCCGGGCCUUGUACACACCGCCCGUCACACCAUGGAAGCUGGUAGUGCCCGAAGUCAUUACCCCAACUGUUCGCAGAGGGGGAUGCCUAAGGCAGGACUGGUGACUGGGGUGAAGUCGUAACAAGGUAGCCGUACCGGAAGGUGUGGCUGGAUCACCUCCU